UACGUAGGGUGCGAGCGUUGUCCGGAAUUAUUGGGCGUAAAGGGCUCGUAGGCGGUUUGUCGCGUCGGGAGUGAAAUCCACUGGCUUUAACUGGUGGCUUGCUUUCGAUACGGGCAGACUGGAGGUAUGCAGGGGGAGAACGGAAUUCCUGGUGUAGCGGUGAAAUGCGCAGAUAUCAGGAGGAACACCGGUGCGAAGGCGGUUCUCUGGGCAUGUCCUGACGCUGAGGAGCGAAAGUGUGGGGAGCGAACAGG
rnacentral:rRNA from 1 species